rnacentral:misc_RNA from 1 species
AGUCGUAACAAGGUUUCCGUAGGUGAACCUGCGCAUUAACACGUAUCCAACGUUAAACAACCUGUGAACCUUAUACCUGAUCUCCUUGAAGGCAAUCCCUGGUAACUCACGCGAACAGUUUGAUUCAGGGACUUCCGUCUUGGAUUCGAUGCGGAGACCAACUGUUAGACUUGGCGUCUGCUUGCAGAUCGGAUCGCUGGUCACCACGGCCAUGCGGACAAGUCUCUAGGGGAUGCGGAAACACUCCUCAAAAAAAAUCGAACAAAUAUCUUGAUUCUC